GUGUCGUGUCCUGCUAGGUGUCGUGUCCUGCUAGGUGUCGUGUCCUGCUUGGUAUCGUGUCCUGCUUGGUGCCGUGUCCUGCUAGGUGUCGUGUCCUGCUAGGUGUCGUGUCCUGCUUGGUGUCGUGUCCUGCUAGGUGUCGUGUCCUGCUAGGUGUCGUGUCCUGCUUGGUGUCGUGUCCUGCUUGGUGUCGUGUCCUGCUAGGUGUUGUGUCCUGCUAGGUGUCGUGUCCUGCUAGGUGUCGUGUCCUGCUAGGCGUCGUGUCCUGCUAGGUGUCGUGUCCUGCUAGGUGUCGUGUCCUGCUAGGUGUCGUGUCCUGCUAGGUGUCGUGUCCUGCUUGGUGUCAUGUCCUGCUAGGUGUCGUGUCCUGCUAGGUGUCGUGUCCUGCUAGGUGUCGUGUCCUGCUAGGUGUCGUGUCCUGCUUGGUGUCGUGUCCUGCUAGGCGUCGUGUCCUGCUAGGUGUCGUGUCCUGCUUGGUGUCGUGUCCUGCUUGGUAUCGUGUCCUGCUAGGUGUCGUGUCCUGCUAGGUGUCGUGUCCUGCUAGGUGUCGUGUCCUGCUAGGUGUCGUGUCCUGCUAGGUGUCGUGUCCUGCUAGGUGUCGUGUCCUGCUAGGUGUCGUGUCCUGCUAGGUGUCGUGUCCUGCUUGUGUCCUGCUAGGUGUCGUGUCCUGCUAGGUGUCGUGUCCUGCUAGGUGUCGUGUCCUGCUAGGCGUCGUGUCC
ensembl:lncRNA